ACUUCUCUUUUCAUCCCCUCAGUCUUUCACGUUCACGCCAGCCGCCGCCCACUGUGCAGCUCGAAGGUCAGCGCGACGAUGGCCCGAGCAGCUGAUGGUAGAAGAUGGUGACACCACCGCGGCACACCUCGCCGGUGCACGCGCACAGCAAAAGCUGCACGCACCACUGCCGUGGCGCCCUUUGCUGGCCGCGCGCACACACACGAGGAGUCUCAUGGCAGCGGCGGCGCUUGCUGGUGCACUGGUGGCGAGCUCUUGGACGAGCCCAUCAGCGCCGUCUUAGGUGAGUCUAUUUCUUAAUCUUAGGGCUGGGGAUAACGAUUCUGCAUCUUUUGACCUAUUAUUAGAUCUCUAUGUAUCCGGCCUGGAUCUGGCUUCUGGAUACCGAGCAGCAGCAUCCGUAGGUAUAAGAUUUAUUAGUGAUUUGAUUUGAUUUGAUUUGAUUUGAUUUGAUUUGAUUUGAGGACAAAUUUAUUAGUGAUGCCGCGGUUAUGGAUACCGAGCUGCAGCAUCUGUAGUCUGCGUAUAUGCCGUGGUGGAUCUGGCUUCUGGAUACCGAGCAGCAUCUGUAGUCAUAAAAUAAUCUUAUAUACCGGCCAAGCACAGGGAUUCUUAGUGAUUUGAUUCGAGGACGAAUUUUAUUGAUGUGUGCUGGUCACCUACUAAACAAAAUUAUAUUUUACUCAAUCUACUUUGGUGCAAUAUCUAUUGAAAGGCACAUCUGUAGGUAUAAGAUUUAUCUUAUGACUAUUCAUACAUUUAUUAGAUUACAGACAGGAUAAGAAUAUUUGAGAAUUAAUAUGCUAGGAACAUCUGAUAAUCAUUAUGUUAGGAAAUUAAUGCAUUCUUUCUAUUUUUCAGGCUAAGACCAGCAGGCUAUAUUAAGGAACCACAGCAGGGCAUUAGAGCAUGACACUAUGACAUUGCAACUAGACCACAGAAUUAGUAAGUUGAGAACAUUGUCAUAGGUAGUCUAUGACAAUCCAAGUAUCACAAACCCCUGACGCUUAUGUGCCUGCAAUAUACAAUAGCUUAGGUGUAUCUAAAAGAUCUACAUGCUUCUAGUAUGUAUUCCUACGUGCUUCUAGUAUGUAUUCCUGAGCUGAUCUAUCUAAUUAAACUAGAACAGUUUCCAUAUUCAGUAUUAUUUUAACUGCUUAUUGCUUCCUUAUUUUAGGCAUAUAGUGCACGCAUAUAGUUUCUCAUCUUAUUGCAUAACAUGCCUAAGAUACAUAGUUGAUUAAUUCAGGAAAGCUUGGCUACAACAAAUACAAUCGCAACUAGCACUAAAAAAACCAAAACUAAAAUGCACUUAAGCAACAUAAUUAGUUCGCGUCCGAUCCCAACUAUAAUAGAUAGAUCAUUCGCUUGAUCAACAUCAUUGAACUCCUUUCGUCGGCUCACUGCCUCACCACCUUCAGCCUCAACCACUUGUGCAAAAGAUUUCUUAAUGUGUUCAAUGUAUUCUUCCUCCCAGUACCAACCUGUACAUCCACCGGUACCGUCCCACUGAAAUUAAAAGAGAUAAUCAAAAGUUUAAUUAAUAUCAUUUAAAAAAUAUGCACAUAUAUAAGCAAAUGUCUAGAAAUAACUCACAUUACGAUCCGGACACUUGUAGAAUAUACGACCCUUGUUUACUCCCUCUUUCGACACUUUGUACUCCAUCACAAUCUUCUGGCCACACUUGCCACAAGUAAUGAGAGGGAGUUCCGGCCGGUAUCGCUUUUGAACCCGUUGUGAGACCGAAGAGCCGGUCACGGUUGUCAUCUACUAUCCAUACUCAAUUUUUAAACAAUUAUAAAUUCCACAUUUACUAGUAAUCAUGUAUGAUUAAAGAAGAACCUAAUAAUAUCCUUUAUUUGUCUAGCUACUUCAACAAAUCUUCUAAAUUAUACAAUGGACAUUGUGUAGUAAUAAAAAUAAAUCAAGUGAUAUUAACAAACCAAUUAAUUUGAAUUAUCCUACUUUCUAAGAUCAUAAAAAGAUACUAUAAUUCAUUCUUGCAAACUACAUUAAUACUAGGUCAACCAUGAAAUAAGCAAGAACAUGUGGAUUUGAGCUAAAAAUAAAGAGAACAUCACGAGCCAAAAAUAACAUGAAAAAUACAAGAAAGACAAAAGUUAGUCACCUCCAAACACGAAGAAACGAUGACGGAGUCAAAGAAGAUCAACGAUGGGCGUCGGAGAUGAAGAACAAGCUCCAAGAACAACAAUGGUGAAUGGUGCUCUCGGUUUCAAAUGGGCAGAGAGGAGGAGGGAUCUGGCCUAUAAACCGGACCUUUAGAACCGGUUCAGGGCAAAAACCGGUGCUAAAGGGUCACCUAUUAACACCGGUUUGUGUUACGCACCGGUGCUAAAGGCUUUGCCUCGGCCCGUGGCGCUGGCCGGUGCUAAAGGGGACCCUUUAGCACCGGUUUGUAACCCGAACCGGUGCUAAAGGGUCCCUGCCCCGACAGCACCUGUCAGUAGCCGUUGGGCAGGACCCUUUAGCACCGGUUCGUGUUACGAACCGGUGUUAAAGAGGUCUUUAACCCCGGGCCGCAGAAUGGCCGAGGUUUUUGGCCAUUUUGGGCAUCGACCAAUGCCUCAUUCUGUAGUAGUGACAUAGUUAAUUACAUGUGUAUGUGACACAGGUAUCUAUUGGCUAUGUUAAUGUUUCUAUUAAAUUGGCUCAUAGUUGGACUAUCUAGGAUCCAAUGUUCAUGUUUUUUCGCAUUCUAUAUUGCAAAAUAUAGAGCCUGCAGACCUACAGCAUGGAAACAGACAUGGAGGUUGGUGCUAUCUAAUGUGGGCGCACAUGGAGAUUUGAGGCUUAAUGGAGAAUUGGUCCACUCAAAGUCGAUAGGUUGUAUUUCAGUGAUCUCGUUUCUUCGAUGCCCAUGUAAAUGCAGCCAUCUCUUUUCUUCUUCGCAUCACUUUUUGAUAAGUGGUAGUUUACUGUUUGGCUGAGAAUAUAUGAAUCUAGAGCAUAGGAGUAGAUCACAGGCUUUUGUAAUGUUGAAUCGGCAUGGUGAUUUUUGAAACAUCUACAUAUAUAAAUGUGAAAUGAAGGUUACUGUUUGUAAACUUAAAGUUUCUUUUGUUGACAUGCUGUACAGUAAACUUAAAGAAUCAUCCACCAUUCUUGAGAAUAUACAUGCUCAUGACUUUGCUAGAGAUUAUAAGUAUUAUCAUCUUUUAUUUGUAUGCUAGCUUUAUUAAAUUGAUAAAUAGAGAACUGUAAUAAAUUUGCAACGGUAGUGUUUUAGUUGGCAGCUUACUUGCACAUGACUAAACUUAAUUGAUAUAUUCUAGAGUGUUGUUCAAACAAUGCAUGAUGUUGGAGUAAUGAGAUCAUAUACGUAUAGAAUUUUGUAACUGUUGUUUGAUUUCUUUGGUUUACAAAUGUAAAGAUCCUUUUGACUUUUUCAUUUGUUUCAACAAGUGAUAUUUGUUUCUGAUGUGUUUUCUAUAGGACAUGGAGAAAUUCCAGAAACCUAAGGUAUCCACUCAUGCUCCUGACACCAAGAAAAACUAGCUGGCAGCACCUAUUGAACUAUUAGUUUGGUGACUAAGGUCACUUGUGAGAUAGGGAUGUGAGAUUUUCAUUUGUUUAUUUUAUCUAAGAUAACCUUGUGACUAAGGUCACUCAUUGAACUAUAGUUUGGUGUUCGUGAUGAAUGUAAUAAAUAUGUUGAUGAAUGACUUGUGAACCUAUUGAUUUGGUCAUGAAUGGAAUAUAUUGUUGGACCUGCGGAUGUUAAUGUGGAAUGUUUGAUGUGAG
rnacentral:lncRNA from 1 species